UACGGAGGGUGCAAGCGUUAUCCGGAUUCACUGGGUUUAAAGGGUGCGUAGGUGGGCUGGUAAGUCAGUGGUGAAAUCUCCGGGCUUAACUCGGAAACUGCCAUUGAUACUAUCAGUCUUGAAUACCGUGGAGGUCAGUAGAAUAUGUCAUGUAGCGGUGAAAUGCUUAGAUAUGACAUAGAAUACCAAUUGCGAAGGCAGCUGGCUACACGAAUAUUGACACUCAGGCACGAAAGCGUGGGGAGCGAACAGG
rnacentral:rRNA from 1 species